rnacentral:snRNA from 1 species
AUCGCUUCUCGGCCUUUUGGCUAAGAUCAAGUGUAGUAUCUAAUUUUAUAUGGGGUUUUCCCCCUUCACAGCUUUGAGAAUUUUU